AGGAAGUCCCUUAGAAAUUCACAGCAGAAGGCCCCUCUGCAUCCCACAGCACCAAGCACGUGCUGGAAACCGGCGGUCCCCCAGAGGAGAGCAGGAGAGGCUGCUGGGUGGCAGAGACAACCACCAAGCCAAGACAGUCACCACCGAAGAGUAUCUGGUGAACCCUGUGGGCAUGAACCGCUACGGUGUGGACACCUCCGCCUCCACCUUUAACCACAGGGGCUCCUUGCCCCCCUCCUCCUCGCUGUACUGCAAGAGGCAGAACUCUGGAGACAGCCACCUUGGGAGUGGUCCUGCUGCCACUGCUGGUGGUCCCCGCACCAGCCCCAUGUCUUCUGGUGGCCCCUCGGCACCUGGGCUGAGGCCCCCAGCCUCCAGCCCCAAGAGAAAUGCGACCUCUCUUGAAGGAAACAGAUGUGGUAAUGUAAUGCAUGCAUCAGCUUCCCACUGACUUAACAACCCUUGCCCUUGCGUGGGGAGCACAGCAUCUGGGGAAGAGGGAGUGUGGCUGUUUAAACAUGGGACUGCUGGGAGAUCAGAAAUUUCCACGAGCCCUUUCAUGGAUCUUGAGGUUCUCAAAAACAGCCAAACUCAACCUUUGAUAAGCAAAGAAAGUCGUGUAUUAGGGUAGGCUAGGCCACAGGAUACAUAGACUCCAAAAUGUGCACAGGCUCAAAUACCAUAGAAAUUUUUGUUCAAGAGCUGAAGGUGAAUGUUCCUGAUUCAUGGAUGCAUCUCAAUAUAGGGACACAGGCUUCAUCUAUUUUGUGGCUCUGCCACCCUCUACAGCCUUCGUGCCCCAUGCAUUUAGGGAAUAGAAAGGGAAAGAAGGUGUGGAGAAGGCACAGGUGCUUCCCUGCAAUCUGAAAGUGAUGCUCAUCACUUCGACUCACAUCUCAUUGGCAAAUCUGGUCAUUUUGCCACACUUAACCGUAAGGGACUCUGGGAGCUGUAGUUUAGCUCUGCCCAGGAGAAAGGAGAACCAGACCUUGGUAAAGAAUUGUCUCUUGCAUAGGAGGUGUCACUUUCAGGAUACAAAUACAUGAGCAGAAGCAGAGUUAGGCAAAAUUCCCCCAGUGCUGGUUGUAAUGCCACUUCUGUCUCGUCCACUAAAGAAAGUUUGUUGGAAUGCAAUCUACAAAAGCGCUAUGAGGGCUAAAGGAUUAUAGUAAUAGCUGGAAGCCCCUUCUGAUUGAUGUUUUAAAAAUCAUUUUCAAGCUUCAGUAUUUUGAUAGUGCAUAAAGGCCAUAGAGUAUAGUGGAUAAUCACUGGGACUUGAGCCAGACAGCCUGGGCUGAGAUGCUGGAUCUGCUGCUUCCUGCCUACCUUUUGCAAGUCUUAACUUACCUGUGCUUCAGUUUCCUCACCUAUAAAAUUGCGAUAAUAAUAAUGGCAGCACCUGCCUCAUAGGAUUGUUGGGAGGAUUAAAUGAGUUCAUACAUGCCUUUAGUACAAGGCCUAGGAGGUAAUAAGAGCUCAAUAAAUGUUAGUAGUUACAGCAUAGAUCUUUUUAACACGUCCCUUAACAGAUCACAGCCCAUCAGCUCCACAGCUGAGAACUGCUGAAGAAAGAAGGCCCCAGGCCAAGGAGUCUGGGAGUCUUCAACUUGCCACCCUGUAGCCCCUCAGUGGGCAGGCUCUGUCUUCUGUGGCAAGUCACAUUUCUCCCCCGAGCCUAGGACCCUUCCACCAGUGACCCCAGCAAGCCGCACACAUGAGCUAUUUUGUGUGAUUCAAGACCCUCCACACAUUCCCUUCCAAGAGCCUCAUGCAACCCAGAUGAGCGUGGCCCUGACCAGCUUCCCCUGGCCAAGGAUGGAGAGGUGAGAAGGGGCCGCUUGCCGGAGAGGUGUUCUGAGGGGUAGAGCACAGCUUCUCUCUCCAUGGCAGCUCUUGCCAAAUGUAGAGAUGCCCUGCAGGCCACUUUCCAACACUGUCACACAGGGCCAUGAGCCAGGCAGAUUAAGUGAGCAGAGCCCUAUUUUCCAAAGGAGAGCAACAUUGUUCCAUCUGAUUCCUAAGAACAAGAGAAAGGGACAAGAUCUUUCAUGAACCAACACUGUAAAGUAAACCAGGGGCAGCCUUGAUUUCAUAGGUUUGUCCCCAGUGUUAGCAUAAUAUCUGGCAUGUGGUAGGUGUUCAACAAACAUGCAUCAUGUCUGUGCCCUCACGGUGUCCCUUUGUCUUCUUGUCAAAACACUCAUCCUUAUGUCCCUCUGGAGUUUAAAUGUCUUUCUCUCAUCCUCUUCUCCUCAGCCCCAUUCCCCUUUUCUCAGGGUGGUGAUAACAGGACACCAUGCUGAUUGAAUUGACUCAUAAUCCCAGAGUCCCACUUUUUAAAAAGGAGAUAUUUACUCUCUCUCCCACUCACGUUGGUAUAAUCUCAGCCCUAUGUCUUAAAUGCAGGAUUUCCAGCAGUAAGAGGGAGGCAUGAUUUGGUUGGAGAGAACUGCUAUCACUCACUCAACAACAGUCUGCCCUGUUCAGUCCAACUGGUGACCCAGGGCCAGGGAAUCCAGGGCUCUUCAGAGGGCCUCAGCAUAGCUCCUGUCCCCCAGCCCCUCACAUCUCCUUCCAGUUGAGCCCUAGGAUGUCCUCCUGUCCUUCACUUUCAUCCCCAUCCCGGCCCUUUGUUCUCCUGUGUAUGAGUCUGUUCUGCUAAUAAAGACAUACGUG
rnacentral:sRNA from 1 species